rnacentral:lncRNA from 1 species
AAGAAUGUCGCCACUGUCUGUCAGAAGAAAGCAAUAACAUGUGCGAACUGCUUAGGAUCAACUGCGACCGAGGUGUUAUGCUUGCUGAUGGGAAAACCAGAUUUUCCAUCAACGGCAAGCCUAUCUACCACUUUGUUGGAACCUCGACCUUUAGCCAAUAUACUGUCGUCCAUGUUGGCCAGGUUGCCAAGAUCAGUCCAACCGCCCCUCUUGAUAAAGUCUGUCCCAUUAGCUGUGGGAUAUGUACAGGUUUUGGGGCCACUGUGAAUGUUGCUAAACCCAAAAAGGGUCAAACUGUUGCAGUUUUUGGACUGGGUGCCGUUGGUCUUGCCGUGAGUUUAUUCUUGUUUC